rnacentral:SRP_RNA from 2 species
CCCAGGUCCCGGAGGGCAUCAGCCCGCUAAUUCCGUCAGGACCCCGAAGGUAGCAGCGGCAUGUGGUGUCUAAUGUUGCUUCGUCAGACCUGGGGCA